rnacentral:rRNA from 1 species
AACGAACGCUGGCGGCGGGCUUAACACAUGCAAGUCGAGCGCCCCGCACGGGGCUCGGCAGACGGGUGAGUAUCGCGUGUGAACGUACCUUUUUGUUCUCAACAACUCCGGGAAACUGGAGCUAAUACCGGAUAAGCCCUCACCGGGCAAGAUUUAUCGCCGAAUGAUCGGCCCGCGUCUGAUUAGCUAGUUGGUGAGGUAACAGCUCACCAAGGCGACGAUCACUAGCUGGUCUGAGAGGAUGAUCAGCCACACUGGGACUGAGACACGGCCCAGACUCCUACGGGAGGCAGCAGUGGGGAAUAUUGGACAAUGGGCGCAAGCCUGAUCCAGCAAUGCCGCGUGAGUGAUGAAGGCCUUAGGGUUGUAAAGCUCUUUUGUCCGGGAAGAUAAUGACAGUACCGGAAGAAUAAGCCCCGGCUAACUUCGUG